ACACUUACCUGGCAAGGGAGAUACUGUGUUCAAGAACGCGUUCACCCAGGGUGAGGCUAGCCAUUGCACUCCGGCUGUGCUGAAGCCUAGUCGAAUUUCCCAAACUGUGGAAAAUCUAUUGGCCUUAGAUUUUAUUUCAGGUAGUGGGGGACUUGGCGUCCGGGCAAG